GUGCCAGCAGCCGCGGUAAUACGUAGGUGGCGAGCGUUGUCCGGAAUUAUUGGGCGUAAAGCGCGCGUAGGCGGGAUAGUCAGUCUGUUGUAAAAGUGCGGGGCUCAACCCCGUAAGGUCAAUGGAAACUGCUAUUCUUGAGUGCAGGAGAGGAAAGUGGAAUUCCCAGUGUAGCGGUGAAAUGCGUAGAUAUUGGGAGGAACACCAGUGGCGAAGGCGACUUUCUGGACUGUGUCUGACGCUGAGGCGCGAAAGCCAGGGGAGCGAACGGGAUUAGAUACCCCGGUAGUCCUGGCCGUAAACGAUGGGUACUAGGUGUGGGAGGUAUCGACCCCUUCCGUGCCGGAGUUAACGCAAUAAGUACCCCGCCUGGGGAGUACGGUCGCAAGACUGAA
rnacentral:rRNA from 1 species